CAGUCGCCGCGGGAAUACGUAGGGUGCGAGCGUUAAUCGGAAUUACUGGGCGUAAAGCGUGCGCAGGCGGUUCGUUAAGACAGAUGUGAAAUCCCCGGGCUUAACCUGGGAACUGCAUUUGUGACUGGCGAGCUAGAGUAUGGCAGAGGGGGGUAGAAUUCCACGUGUAGCAGUGAAAUGCGUAAAGAUGUGGAGGAAUACCGAUGGCGAAGGCAGCCCCCUGGGCCAAUACUGACGCUCAUGCACGAAAGCGUGGGGAGCAAACAGGAUUAGAUACCCCUGUAGUCCCUGUCUCUUAUAA
rnacentral:rRNA from 1 species